AAGUGUCUGUGCCGCAAAUCCUCGUAAAACAGUUGUGCAAAAAAACGGAGGUACCGUAUUUUCACGACUAUAAGGCGCCAUUAAAAGUCCUACAUUUUCUCCAAAAUGGACAGGACGCCUUAUGGUGCAGAGCGUCCUUUGUAUGUGCUGAGUUCCAAAAUCUGACUGACAGCCGACACGCUGUUUAUAUAGAGAAAAGGUGGAAGUGACUGUGGCCAGGCAUGCGGGAAAGAAGUCGGCCAAUCAGUGAAGGGUGGGCGUGUAUACAUACAUAUAUGGAGAGAGAGAGAGAGAGGACAGGCAUGCUGGGGAGCAGUCUGCCAAUGGGUGAAGGGUGUGCGUGUAAGUGGACGCUAAAGGGGACGCCCCAAGCAGGUACCAACACCUGUAUAGAGUGUGGCAAUGUGCAUUGUUGCAAAACAACUUCGGUUUUGGUUUCUAUGAACCCCCGAAAAUAAAUUCUUCAAAGAGACACGCCUACGAAGCUCAGUUCAAACUUCAAGCCAUCGGUUAUGCUUUUGGCAUGCGUGCCCAUCUCACAGCAGUGGUGAAAAAUCAAGUCAAGCAAAUGAACUCUGAGCUUGCCGUUAUUCCCGGAGGCUUGACUAAAGAACUCCAACCGCUGGACAUCGGCAUCAACUGGGCGUUCUUAGGUAAAGUUGCGACCGGGCGUUCAAAGUAAAGUUGCGAACGGCAUGGGAACAAUGAAUGAUCGAUGGCAAACACAAC